GGGUGAAUGGUUGAGUGGUCAAAAGCAACAGACUGUAAAUCUGUUGAUGUUUUCUUACGUAGGCUCGAAUCCCGCCUCUCCCA
rnacentral:tRNA from 1 species